rnacentral:rRNA from 1 species
AUUGAACGCUGGCGGCAUGCCUUACACAUGCAAGUCGAACGGCAGCACGGAGCUUGCUCUGGUGGCGAGUGGCGAACGGGUGAGUAAUAUAUCGGAACGUACCCUAGAGUGGGGGAUAACGUAGCGAAAGUUACGCUAAUACCGCAUACGAUCUAAGGAUGAAAGUGGGGGAUCGCAAGACCUCAUGCUCGUGGAGCGGCCGAUAUCUGAUUAGCUAGUUGGUAGGGUAAAAGCCUACCAAGGCAUCGAUCAGUAGCUGGUCUGAGAGGACGACCAGCCACACUGGAACUGAGACACGGUCCAGACUCCUACGGGAGGCAGCAGUGGGGAAUUUUGGACAAUGGGCGAAAGCCUGAUCCAGCAAUGCCGCGUGAGUGAAGAAGGCCUUCGGGUUGUAAAGCUCUUCUGUCAGGGAAGAAACAGUGGGAGCUAAUAUCUCUUGCUAAUGACGGUACCUGAAGAAUAAGCACCGGCUAACUACGUGCCAGCAGCCGCGGUAAUACGUAGGGUGCAAGCGUUAAUCGGAAUUACUGGGCGUAAAGCGUGCGCAGGCGGUUUUGUAAGUCUGAUGUGAAAUCCCCGGGCUCAACCUGGGAAUUGCAUUGGAGACUGCAAGGCUAGAAUCUGGCAGAGGGGGGUAGAAUUCCACGUGUAGCAGUGAAAUGCGUAGAUAUGUGGAGGAACACCGAUGGCGAAGGCAGCCCCCUGGGUCAAGAUUGACGCUCAUGCACGAAAGCGUGGGGAGCAAACAGGAUUAGAUACCCUGGUAGUCCACGCCCUAAACGAUGUCUACUAGUUGUCGGGUCUUAAUUGACUUGGUAACGCAGCUAACGCGUGAAGUAGACCGCCUGGGGAGUACGGUCGCAAGAUUAAAACUCAAAGGAAUUGACGGGGACCCGCACAAGCGGUGGAUGAUGUGGAUUAAUUCGAUGCAACGCGAAAAACCUUACCUACCCUUGACAUGGCUGGAAUCCUUGAGAGAUCAGGGAGUGCUCGAAAGAGAACCAGUACACAGGUGCUGCAUGGCUGUCGUCAGCUCGUGUCGUGAGAUGUUGGGUUAAGUCCCGCAACGAGCGCAACCCUUGUCAUUAGUUGCUACGAAAGGGCACUCUAAUGAGACUGCCGGUGACAAACCGGAGGAAGGUGGGGAUGACGUCAAGUCCUCAUGGCCCUUAUGGGUAGGGCUUCACACGUCAUACAAUGGUACAUACAGAGCGCCGCCAACCCGCGAGGGGGAGCUAAUCGCAGAAAGUGUAUCGUAGUCCGGAUUGUAGUCUGCAACUCGACUGCAUGAAGUUGGAAUCGCUAGUAAUCGCGGAUCAGCAUGUCGCGGUGAAUACGUUCCCGGGUCU